CAAUAGCGUAUAUUAAAGUUGUUGCGGUAAAAAAGCUCGUAGUUGGAUUUCUGUUGAGAGCGACCGGUCCAUACCAUGUAUGCGUAUCUGGCUUGCUCUCGGCAUCCUCUCGAUAGACGUUACUGCGCUUGAUUGCGUGGUGCGGAUCUCGGGACUUUUACUUUGAGGAAAUUAGAGUGUUCACGGCAGGCUUUCGCCAGAAUACAUUAGUAUGGAAUAAUACUAUAGGAUCUUGGUUCUAUUUUGUUGGUUUCUAGAAUUGAGAUAAUGAUUAAUAGGGACAAUUGGGGGCAUUCGUAUCAACACGUCAGAGGUGGAAUUCUUGGAUUGUGUUGCGACGAACUACUGCGAAAGCAUUUGCCAAGGAUGUUUUCAUUGA
rnacentral:rRNA from 1 species